CAAGGUUUGGAAUGAUGAGAGAUAUUGGUGCAUCAGAAGUCAUGCCCGCCGGGCUUGGAGAAUGGAGCCCUCAUGCACAACAAAAUUAGUUUGAAGCCUGGACACGAGGUUCCAGCAUUAUCUCUUAUAUUUAUUUUUGUUCUUUUUCUCCGAGGAAACCAAAUCCUUGUAAGUUCAUGACAUCUCAACCUCAAGGAAGUAUUAAUGGCGCAUGUGAAGAUCAAUACAUACAACUCAAUAUAUGAAUUACAAACCAAACUCAUUGCUUUUACAACAGUAUUUAUGUGUAAGAAUAUGGUUGCCCAUCUCCCUGAGAUUUCUAGCCAGAAUUGAAGGAGGCCUCCCUCCUAUUAUAUGGGCCAGCUUUUAAGAAC
rnacentral:lncRNA from 1 species